GGGGAUAUAGCUCAAUUGGUACAGUGCUUGCCUUGCAGGCAAAAGGCCCCAGGUUAAAUCCCCAGCAUCACCA
rfam:Ictidomys tridecemlineatus contig144864, whole genome shotgun sequence.